ensembl:lncRNA
UCUGUUGUCUCCUUCUAUAGCCUGACCCCAGAUCUGUUGUCUCCUUCUAUAGCCUGACCCCAGAUCUGUUGUCUCCUUCUAUAGCCUGACCCCAGAUCGGUUUCUCCUUCUAUAGCCUGACCCCAGAUCUGUUGUCUCCUUCUAUAGCCUGACCCCAGAUCUGUUGUCUCCUUCUAUAGACUGACCCCAGAUCUGUUGUCUCCUUCUAUAGCCUGACCCCAGAUCUGUUGUCUCCUUCUAUAGCCUGACCCCAGAUCGGUUUUCUCCUUCUAUAGCCUGACCCCAGAUCUGUUGUCUCCUUCUAUAGCCUGACCUCAGAUCUAUUUUCUCCUUCUAUAGCCUGACCCCAGAUCUAUUUUCUCCUUCUAUAGACUGACCCCAGAUCUGUUGUCUCCUUCUAUAGCCUGACCCCAGAUCUGUUUUCAGUGUGACAGGGAGUUGGCAUGAUAGCACAAACAGACUGGCACUCAGGCUAGGGUCAUCAGUGUGACAGGGAGUUGGCAUGAUAGCACAAACAGACUGGCACUCAGGCUAGGGUCAUCAGUGUGACAGGGAGUUGGCAUGAUAGCACAAACUUCAUGCUGUGUGUCUAUAGCAGGGUUGGGCUCAAUUCCAUUUCAAAUCAGUCGAUUCAGGAAGUACAACUGAAAUUCCAAUUCUCCUUUUUUUUCAACUUUUUAAUGUGGAACAUUGGAAUGUGCAUUUCGGCUUUACCUCCUGAUUUGAAAUAGAAUUGCCCCCCCAGCCCUGGUUUACAAUGUCGUGGCCUGAACAGCACCUCAGAGGUCCAGCUGUGAAGUACAAGUCACUGUUCUCCUAUCAUCAAACCUGAAACAUAAAAAGACAAAUACUGUACAUCUGAUUUAUAAUCUACAGGUGGAUAUCUUUAGUCUCUAUUCUCCUAACAUCUGAAUUAUAAUCUACAGGUGGAUAUCUUUAGUCUCUAUUCUCCUAACAUCUGAUUUAUAAUCUACAGUCUCUAUUCUCCUAACAUCUGAUUUAUAAUCUACAGGUGGAUAUCUUUAGUCUCUAUUCUCCUAACAUCUGAUUUAUAAUCUACAGUCUCUAUUCUCCUAACAUCUGAUUUAUAAUCUACAGGUGGAUAUCUUUAGUCUCUAUUCUCCUAACAUCUUAUUUAUAAUCUACAGGUGGAUAUCUUUAGUCUCUAUUCUCCUAACAUCUGAUUUAUAAUCUACAGUCUCUAUUCUCCUAACAUCUGAUUUAUAAUCUACAGUCUCUAUUCUCCUAACAUCUUAUUUAUAAUCUACAGUCUCUAUUCUCCUAACACCUGAUUAAUAAUCUACAGUCUCUAUUCUCCUAACAUCUGAUUUAUAAUCUACAGGUGGAUAUCUUUAGUCUCUAUUCUCCUAACAUCUUAUUUAUAAUCUACAGUCUCUAUUCUCCAAACAUCUGAUUUAUAAUCUACAGGUGGAUAUCUUUAGUCUCUAUUCUCCUAACAUCUUAUUUAUAAUCUACAGUCUCUAUUCUCCAAACAUCUGAUUUAUAAUCUACAGUCUCUAUUCUCCAAACAUCUGAUUUAUAAUCUACAGUCUCUAUUCUCCUAACAUCUGAAUUAUAAUCUACAGGCUCUAUUCUACUAACAUUUUAUUUAUAAUCUACAGGCUCUAUUCUCCUAACAUCUGAAUUAUAAUCUACAGGUGGAUAUCUUUAGUCUCUAUUCUCCUAACAUCUGAUUAAUAAUCUACAGUCUCUAUUCUCCUAACAUCUGAUUUAUAAUCUACAGUCUCUAUUCUCCUAACAUCUGAUUUAUAAUCUACAGUCUCUAUUCUCCUAACAUCUGAAUUAUAAUCUACAGGUGGUUAUCUUUAGGCUCUAUUCUCCUAACAUCUGAUUUACAAUCUACAGUCUCUAUUCUCCUAACAUCUGAAUUAUAAUCUACAGGUGGUUAUCUUUAGGCUCUAUUCUCCUAACAUCUGAUUUACAAUCUACAGUCUCUAUUCUAACAUCUGAAUUAUAAUCUACAGGUGGUUAUCUUUAGGCUCUAUUCUCCUAACAUCUGAUUUAUAAUCUACAGUCUCUAUUCUCCUAACAUCUGAUUUACAAUCUACAGUCUCUAUUCUAACAUCUGAAUUAUAAUCUACAGUCUCUAUUCUAACAUCUGAAUUAUAAUCUACAGGUGGAUAUCUUUAGUCUCUAUUCUCCUAACAUCUGAUUCAUAAUCUACAGUCUCUAUUCUCCUAACAUCUGAUUUAUAAUCUACAGGUGGUUAUCUUUAGGCUCUAUUCUCCUAACAUCUGAUUUAUAAUCUACAGGUGGUUAUCUUUAGGCUCUCUUCUCCUUCGUCAGUCUGUGUCCCUCUGUUGAGUGUCUUCCUGGAGUUGUGUGUGUUGUCAGGGUUACUGGUCGAUUCCUCUGAACAGACACAUGGCAAACACCAUGGCAAACAGCUGAGAGAACAAGGGAGACAGUUUAGGAAGGGUUAGGAGGAUCACUGCAA